GGUGGGAGAGCUCAGCGGGAGAGCGCCUGCUUAGCAGGCAUGAGGUCUGGGUUCAACCCCCCCGUGCCUCCC
rnacentral:tRNA from 1 species